AGUGAACGCUGGCGGUAGGCCUAACACAUGCAAGUCGAACGGCAGCACAGUAAGAGCUUGCUCUUACGGGUGGCGAGUGGCGGACGGGUGAGGAAUACAUCGGAAUCUACUUUUUCGUGGGGGAUAACGUAGGGAAACUUACGCUAAUACCGCAUACGACCUACGGGUGAAAGCAGGGGAUCUUCGGACCUUGCGCGAUUGAAUGAGCCGAUGUCGGAUUAGCUAGUUGGCGGGGUAAAGGCCCACCAAGGCGACGAUCCGUAGCUGGUCUGAGAGGAUGAUCAGCCACACUGGAACUGAGACACGGUCCAGACUCCUACGGGAGGCAGCAGUGGGGAAUAUUGGUCAAUGGGCGCAAGCCUGAUCCAGCCAUACCGCGUGGGUGAAGAAGGCCUUCGGGUUGUAAAGCCCUUUUGUUGGGAAAGAAAAGCAGCAGGUUAAUACCCCGCUGUUCUGACGGUACCCAAAGAAUAAGCACCGGCCAACUUCGUG
rnacentral:rRNA from 1 species